rnacentral:misc_RNA from 1 species
CAUUCCUGCAACCUUCCUGCUCAUCCUUGCUUGAACUUGUGCUUUUUAUGUCUAUAUAACCCUGAGAUACUGUAUCAUCCGAGUUGGGAGUGCUAGCGCUACUGAAGAUGCGAGCUCUUGCCCUAUCAUACUCCUCCUUUCUCUCUUCCACACUUCUCACAGGACUACGUUUGAUCCCAAACUCAUUAGAUUCAUUUGCAGACCCUUUAUUAGGCCGUGGCCUAAUGGCAAUCUUAAGCAGCUCAGGUUUAUCACUUUCCAACUGUUUUGCAGGAAUUUCAGAUAAGCACACUGCAGGAUAUCUGCUUUGUCCUGUUUUCUUUACCAGAAUCUUAUUUGCCAGGCCAUCCAUGCCAUUAUCCUGUACCGUGGUUAUCAGACCAUAGUG